GACUCAGCAGGUCUGCAUCCCGUGGUAAGAAGGACUCUGGGAUGCUAAGGGACUCAGCAGGUCUGCAUCCCGUGGUAAGAAGGACUCUGGGAUGCUAAGGGACUCAGCAGGUCUGCAUCC
rnacentral:lncRNA from 1 species